rnacentral:rRNA from 1 species
CUAAACGCCCAAAGCUGUUGUCCAAGACCUUCGGGUUGAGGGUUUCAGUGGAGCGCGUGACCCGAUCUAGUAGUAGUCAAGCGAUGGAGAGACGCAGGAAGGUAGCCUCCGCGUGGCGAUGGUAGUCCACGUCCAAGGGUGUAGGGCGAGCUGUAGGCAAAUCCGCAGCUCACAUAGCCUGAGACCUGAUAGUGACCGCGUAUGCGGGAAGCAGGGUGAUCCUAUGCUGCCAAGAAAAUCUUCUAGCGAGGUUCGAGCCGCCCGUACCCCAAACCGACUCAGGUGGUUAGGUAGAGAAUACCAAGGCGAUCGAGUGAAUCGUGGUUAAGGAAUUCGGCAAAAUACCCCCGUAACUUCGGGAGAAGGGGGGCCCAGAGGGUGAAGGCACUUGCUGCCUAGCCUGAACGGCCGCAGAGACCAGGGAGAAGCGACUGUUUACUAAAAACACAGGUCCGUGCGAAGUCGCAAGACGAUGUAUACGGACUGACGCCUGCCCGGUGCUGGAAGGUUAAGAGGACCGGUUAGUUCUUCGGAGCGAAGCUGAGAAUUUAAGCCCCAGUAAACGGCGGUGGUAACUAUAACC